UCCAGGACGAUCGAUCGGGACAUGGAGCUGUUGGCGUAAGUGAAAUCUCUGCUUUUCUUGGCUUUGGCCCUCAUUCCAGCUCUGGAGCUCUGUGUAGCAUCCCGCGACAUGAUCGGGGAUCAAUCCGUGGCCGAUUAUCUCCGAGACGUGAGGAGCCGAUUGAGCGAGCACCAAGCUUCGUCCGUGUAUAACCUCAAGCAAUGAAGCAAAAGUAAGCGAUUGUUUUUCUUUCUUUCUUUCUUCCUGCCUUUAUUCUUGUUUGAUCUCAAAGGCUCUCUCGUUUGAUCUUGUAUAGUUGUCUUGGACGAUUCAGAGAGCUGGAACCACGUUAGAAUCGCUAUGGAAGCUGGUAAAAUCAUCGAAUUCCAAAGCGAUAAAUUGCCAGAUUCUAGACUUUGUUCUAGAAGCAGACACGAAGAUUCUUUCGAGUUCUAGAUUGAGAACCUUUUUGUGCAGGAGGAGCUCAAGAACAAAACGAGAGUAUUUGAAAGCCGAGGUAGCAAAACAAGAGAGUCGUUCAAGAAAAGAACCAAUGCGAGGAGGAGCUUAUUCGCAAAGUAAGAUCCCCUGUAAACUUUGGCUUGUGUGUUUGACGAGCACAUCUCUCCAGUUUGUGGCCUUGCUCAAUUCACAAAAAGCCAAGCUUCGCGAGCUCCAAUUGGCCGUUCCAACACCGUCUAGACGAUCAAGUAGCAGAGACGAUGACGAAGAAGAAGAGGCUACCGACAGAGAAGACAGUGGUGACGAAGAGGAUGAUGAUCAAUCCUCCAUUAGAAUGGCGGCAUCUCCCUCUCUCAACAAAGUAUCUCCCCCAAACUCAAGCAACGAGAGAUCGUUCCCGAGAGUCCCAUUGCUCUGGAGAGUUCAUCCACAGCAACGAGCUUGAAGCAAACUCCUCGAGACGAUAUUGAUGCUACGGAAUUAUACCAG
rnacentral:lncRNA from 1 species